UGAAGUGAUGAACAUGGUGUGUCUGC
rnacentral:piRNA from 1 species